AUAAAUAUAAGACCUUGUACCCCGACAGACAUAAUCAUACAUGUAGGUGUUUGUGUAACAUGUUCAGAAAUGUUCAAGCUUCGUUUUACCGUAUACAUUUUAUUACCAGUCCUCCUAAGUUUAGUACAAUGGAAAUCGGGUUGCUCGUUUGAGAUGUAUAGUUUUGACGACACCCCUGGCCUGGGUCGUGUCUUUGAUGGGAUAGGAGCCAUAAGCGGAGGUGGGGCAACAUCAAAACUAUUGAUUGGAUACCCUGAUAAGCAAAGAAAUGAGAUUCUUGAUUACUUGUUCAAGCCAAACUUCGGAGCUUCGUUUCAAAUUCUUAAAGUUGAAAUCGGGAGUGAC